GCUAUGCUAGCAUUGUUUGUUAAAAUCCGAAGCAUUUCUGCCAAUGCAAUGCACAGAAAAUCUGGAGCAUCAUGGAGAAUCUCAAGAAUACUCUCAAUUACACUAGCUUUCACCAUUUCCAAUUUGCAAGCUGGUCUAUCCUUUCCAAGUUUCACCAAAGCUCUAGCAACCGCCUCAUGAAGCAUGUAGUUUCUGCCAUACAAAAGACUGACAAGAGGAACAACAGCUCCAUGUGCUGCCACUAAUUCUGCGAGCUGCUCAUCAUCUAGGAGUCUAUCCAAUGCACGAACCACAGAAAGCUGGGCAGGGUUAGCUUCACUAACCAGUAAACCGACCAGGGGUUCCACACAACGUGCUGCCGCCAUUGUUGAACGGAUCCUUGUAUUUGUAAAUAGAACACAGCAUAGUUCUGCAGCAUCUCCUUUCAACUCCGCUGAACAGUCGGAAGAAAGAAUACGGCACAGAACAUCCACAGCAUUCAUCUCAACAUCUGCAACCGCAAGUGCUCUUGAGGGAUUGUCACAGAGAAGCCUAACAAGGGCUGAUAUAGCUGCAUGCUGCUCCCUCUCCAUGCCAGUACUCAGAAUCUCCACAAGCGGUUGAAUAGCCUGCCUAGCUGACUCACUGUUCCUCACAUGGUCGGCACAAAACAAGCUCUCUAAUGCCUUUGCAGCACUGUAACGUGAAUUUCUUGCUCCUAAACGGAGGACUGCCACAAGUUGAUUAACAACACCAGGUGCUGACUCAUGGUGCCUUAUUUCUGCACUACUGAAGAGAAUGCCCAGCAAUUCAGUUGUAGCUUCUUCAGUUGCAUCUUGUGGGCUAAGAGAUAGAUAUUUAGUAAGUGCUUCUAGGAUUCCAGCUUCAGCCAUUAGCAGCAUGUUUGGAGGGCAAUCAACAGCCAAUUGAGUCAGAAGACCCAAGGCCAAGAAAGGAGCGCCAGGUCUUUCAGGAAUGGGUUUAAGUAGAUCCACAAGAAGAGGAAUAGAUUUUCUUGAAGUUGCACCAACCCUGAUAUCAUCAACUCUGAACAUCCUCUCUAAUGCAAUUUGAUCAGGAUUAGGCACCAACAUGAAUUCCUCUGAUAACUCCAAAAGAUCAGCUAUAUCAACAUCAGCGCAUCCAAGCAAAGAUACAAGUCCAAUGGCUGCCCCAGAAUUAGCAACAGCCAGAAGAGUUCCUCUGCUACCAUUGCAGACCAGACUUGACAAAGCUUGUGCAGCAAAGUACCUGUAUGCUGGCUCAUCUGAUCUUAACAAAUUUGAGAGCACAGGAAUGGAGUGCAAUGCUGAGUUUGAUCGAUUUAUCUCUCUUUCUUGGAAUAGCAAUGCAAGAAGCAACGAACAGACCCAUGAGGUGCUAUCCUCUUCACCCUGACAAGAACAUGAACAUAUAUGUAAGGGCAGUCACAGGCUUGCAGCAAUCUAAACAAACUUAGCAAACUACGUGCAGUGAGAGGAUAAAUAGCGCGUCAGCAAAAAAUGGCAGAAGAAUACGAAUUCUGACAGAUAUUUGCAGCAUGAACAUUCCAUACAAAAAAUGAUUCUAGGAAAUCCCAAUGCAAAACUUUUUUUAAUGCCCUUAGUACAAAUGCCAAAUAAGUGAACAAGCAGUAGUUAUGGUAUCCUACCAAUAAGAUGAAAUCAAUUCACGCAAUUUAAAAUCACUUUUGGUCAUGUCUGAUUUUGAAGUGUUUGACCAAAGGAGAUACACUGCCUUAUAGUAUGAAUAAUGAAAUCCCAAACAGAACUUCGAUCGAAUAUUUGGAUGUCAUUGCAGUGCUGAAUAUAUCAUGAGUAUUGAAAGAGUGGAAUAAAUAAAUCAGAUUGACCAGCACGUUAUCUAUGCAUCAGCUUAUAAGACAAAUUAGUGUAAUUAAGAACAGUAGUAGCAGAAUGGAACCAACCUACAUAAUAUCUGUUUGGCAAAUAUUGUGCACAGACAACACAAACAACUCCCCCAAUUAUAGAGGUAGGUAAGUACAAUCCCAUGUUUCAUAGUUAAGUAUCCAAAUUUAUUACAGUACCCAAAUUAAACUAUUUUGGAAUUCUUAUAACCAAUUUGGUCAGAUGCAGUAAUCCAAUCUACCAAUAAUUACUUUAACUUUACCUAUUAGCUAGGUUCUCAUAACUUGAUUACUCUAGAUAAGCAUCAAUGUGUUUGUAAAACCAAAACUUUUUUUUCCACAAAAUCACUUGGAAAUUAGGACAUCAAAAUAUUAUAUUAUAUUAGUGUUACCAGAUUAACCAACAAUGUAAAGCAGAAAGACCGUUCUAGGGAGCUAACUAAACUUUACUAGCUAUAAUCAUAGUUUGUGUAAAGUUAUUGAAGCAUAAGAGAUACUAGCAUUCAUGCAAAGGAUUGCAAAAGUAAUGGAAAAAAUAGCAUUAUCAUACCACAUAUUGGAAUGCAUUUUGUGAAAUCUUCUCGGUGAGCAUUUCAACUGCUCCAGCUUCUAGGAUUUCUGCUCUUGUUUUGCUGUCAUGACGAGAAAAGACAGCAAGUAGCCAUAGUGGAAUCAUGUUGCCUGAGAUGACAGCAGUACGGCACACAGUUUCACCAUCACUGUUGCUUUCUUUGGAGUGUCUGGAAAUUCUAAUAUCUGCUAUGCUAUCACUGCUGUCACUCUCAGCAGGAGUGUUUGCCAUAUGGAUCAUACCAAUUAGAGAAUGAAUUAGUUGAAUAUAGAGACUUGAAUCAUUCAGAAUAUCUAUCUGCUUCUGACAAUGCUCUUUUGCUGCACAAACAAGAAGAGCACAUCCACCAACUUUAACUUUAAGCAUGUUUGAGCCAAUGACUCGCCGUGUGAUGGAUGCUAUGCAACCUGGAGUUUCAGAAACCAAACCACCCACAACAUCAUGUUGGUCGGAACAGAGCCUUGACACAACUUCUAUGGCUUUAUCUUGUAAGGAGGGAGCAGCAUCAGCUAUACAUGAAACAAGGGGAAGUAUCGUGUGGGGAUUUUCCGCAAGAACUGCCCAGGGAGCUUUGGUGUGCCCACUUGAUGCCUUUGAUCGCGAUAGUAGGACCAGUGCAUCAAGAACUUCUGAUGUUGCAGCAGCUUCACCAUUGGCAGCUUCCAAGAGCCCAGCUAGAGCAAGAACACACCCAGAACGGUUAAUGGUAUCUGAAAGCGGUUGAUUAAUAGUUCGACAUUGUAAAAGACGAGCUAUUGCUGCAGCUGCAUGAGUUCUUCCAUCAAUAGUUCCCUCUUUUAGCACACGUGUUACGCGGAAGAGAAUUUCUUCAAAAGACACCUGGAGAGAGAAUUCCUGAUCAAGAAAAAGAUUAGCCAAAGCUCUGGUCGCUUGUUCUGCUACUUCAAUAACUGAAGAAUUUGUGAGUGAGACCAGUGGUGUUAAAGCAUCCCGUCCAAUUGCAGCAACCUCUUUGUUUUGCUUGAUUGAAAGAAAAAUGGCAGCAAGGCAAGAUGAGGCACCCAUUAGUAUUUUGUCAGACUGCAUAUCAAGCAGCUUCAUAACUGACCAAAGUGUCUUCAC
rnacentral:lncRNA from 1 species